rnacentral:lncRNA from 13 species
UGUUUUGACUGUCAAAACAAAUAACUUUGAUGGAAUAUUACAAUGGCAAUUAUUCAUCACAAUUUCACAAUAUUACUUGUAUUUCAAUGAUUCAUCCAGGCCCAAGACAUAAAGUCUCCUGAAAGCUGUGUAGCAAUCAUUCCAUUGCUGACCCAUAGGAUGGUAAUCACAUACAUGAUUGGCUUCAUCUAGAAUCAUGGAUACCUUUCAUGUGAGUACUCACACACAAUAUUUUUUUUACAUACCUCAGAAGGAAGAUACCUCAAUAUCUGGAAGCACUGUCUCGUGUACAAUUGCUAAUGCUAUCUCUGAAAUGUCUAACAAAAUGUUGACUUGGUCGUUUCAUCAAGACCUUCUCAUCACAAGUUGGAACUAGUGGUCAACAUUGGGACAAUGCAGCCAUAAAUAACAUGGACCAAUAUUUUCAUGGAGGUAAGUACUAUACUUCUGAUGGGUUUAAAGAUUGUAUUACAUUAUCUUACCAUAGAUAUUUUUCCUCUAAUUUGGCUCCCGUUCCUCCAACAGUGAGCUUGACCUGCCAGCAGAGCUCACUGGAGCAGGGAGACAUGCCGUCAUCCUUUUGGCGCCUGACAAAAUCAUCACAGCAGCUGAUGUUGCUGUACAGAGGAAGGAGAUCCUCCGAGCAUCAGGCCUCAUCCCUGAACAAAAGGAGUUGAUCCUCAUGGCCAGUGUCACUGCGCAGAGGAAGGGAAUCGUCCCAAUGUCCAGCGUCCCUGCACACAGGGAGGUGUUCCUCCUCACAGCCAGUGUCCCUGUGAAGAAUGGAAACAAUCAUCCACAACCACCUCCCAUCAUCCCCAUGGUGGCACCACUGUGGAAAUGGGAUGGUGGAGCGUGUACUCCACCUGUGGAUUUCUAUUCCAAGAGAAGAGAUGUCCGACUUAGAUAUGUUGAGCAUCCUGCUAUGAUGUCCAUUACCAAGCCGGAACACUCCGAGGCCAACCCUCAGUGCCAGACGGCAGCUGGGUCUUUGGGAGUGGAAGAGUUAAUAAGAAGGAGGUUCAUCUACCUGAGGACAAAGACAGAUCUGUAAGGAACUGGUUAUUAACACUAUAUUCUAUGUAUAUAUGCAGCUCUCUGGCUUGCUCCCUCCUUCACACUUUGACCUCAUGGCACCAAUGGUUGUACCACCUGACACUCUACCCUACUGAGGUAUGACUCUGGAAAAUCCUUCCAAAUUGUAUCCAUUCAUCAUUAAAUUAGAUUUUACUUUAACAUAGCAAAUGACUGAAGUAGCAAGGAUGUUAUCUAAUUUUUUAUUUUUGUCCAACAGGCCAUUUGCCCAGAUUGGAUUUGCAAUACAUAGAUUUUUUCAGCAUUAAAAAACUUCAGCAUUAAAAAUGUAUUAAAAGAUGAUCUUUUAAUGAAUCUCUCCUUUGUGUCCUCAUGUUCACAUUAAUUUGAUGUGUUAUAUCAUCAUUUACAAUGCUUAUUGCUUCUGCAUUGCUUUACGUUACAGAAAAGUAUAUACACUGCUCAAAAAAAUAAAGGAAACACUAAAAUAACACAUCCUAGAUCUGAAUGAAUGAAAUAUUCUUAUUAAAUACUUUUUUCUUUACAUAGUUGAAUGUGCUGACAACAAAAUCACACAAAAAUUAUCAAUGGAAAUCAAAUGUAUCAACCCAUGGAGGUCUGGAUUUGGAGUCACACUCAAAAUUAAAGUGGAAAACCACACUGCAGGCUGAUCCAACUUUGAUGUAAUGUCCUUAAAACAAGUCAAAAUGAGGCUCAGUAGUGUGUGUGUCCUCCACGUGCCUGUAUGACCUCCCUACAACGCCUGGGCAUGCUCCUGAUGAGAUGGCGGAUGGUCUCCUGAGGGAUCUCCUCCCAGACCUGGACUAAAGCAUCCGCCAACUCCUGGACAGUCUGUGGUGGAUGGAGCGAGACAUGAUGUCCCAGAUGUGCUCAAUUGGAUUCAGGUCUGGGGAACGGGUGGGCCAGUCCAUAGCAUCAAUGCCUUCCUCUUGCUGACACACUCCAGCCACAUGAGGUCUAGCAUUGUCUUGCAUUAGGAGGAACCCAGGGCCAACCGCACCAGCAUAUGGUCUCACAAGGGGUCUGAGGAUCUCAUCUCGGUACCUAAUGGCAGUCAGGCUACCUCUGGCGAGCACAUGGAGGGCUGUGCGGCCCCCCAAAGAAAUGCCACCCCACACCAUGACUGACCCACCGCCAAACCGGUCAUGCUGGAGGAUGUUGCAGGCAGCAGAACGUUCUCCACGGCGUCUCCAGACUUUCACGUCUGUCACAUGUGCUCAGUGUGAACCUGCUUUCAUCUGUGAAGAGCACAGGGCACCAGUGGCGAAUUUGCCAAUCUUGGUGUUCUCUGGCAAAUGCCAAACAUACUGCACGGUGUUGGGCUGUAAGCUGUGGACGUCAUACCCCCCUCAUGGAGUCUGUUUCUGACCGUUUGAGCAGACGCAUGCACAUUUGUGGCCUGCUGGAGGUCAUUUUGCAGGGCUCUGGCAGUGCUCCUCCUGCUCCUCCUUGCACAAAGGCGGAGGUAGCGGUCCUGCUGCUGGGUUGUUGCCCUCCUACGGCCUCCUCCACGUCUCCUGAUGUACCGGCCUGUCUCCUGGUAGCGUCUCCAUGCUCUGGACACUACGCUGACAGACACAGCAAACCUUCUUGCCACAGCUCGCAUUGAUGCUCGCAUUGAUGUUCCAUCCUGGAUGAGCUGCACUACCUGAGCCACUUGUGUGGGUUGUAGACUCCGUCUCAUGCUACCACUAGAGUGAAAGCAGCGCCAGCAUUCAAAAGUGACCAAAACAUCAGCCAGGAAGCAUAGGAACUGAGAAGUGGUCUGUGGUCCCCACCUGCAGAACCACUCCUUUAUUGGGGGUGUCUUGCUAAUUGCCUAUAAUUUCCACCUGUUGUCUAUUCCAUUUGCACAACAGCAUGUGAAAUUUAUUGUCAAUCAGUGUUGCUUCCUAAGUGGACAGUUUGAUUUCACAGAAGUGUGAUUGACUUGGAGUUACAUUGUGUUGUUUAAGUGUUCCCUUUUUUUUUUUGAGCAGUGUAUAUAUUAUAUACAGUGCCUUGCGAAAGUAUUCGGCCCCCUUGAACUUUGCGACCUUUUGCCACAUUUCAGGCUUCAAACAUAAAGAUAUAAAACUUUCUUUUUUUGUGAAGAAUCAACAACAAGUGGGACACAAUCAUGAAGCGGAACGACAUUUAUUGGAUAUUUCAAACUUUUUUAACAAAUCAAAAACUGAAAAAUUGGGUGUGCAAAAUUAUUCAGCCCCCUUAAGUUAAUACUUUGUAGCGCCACCUUUUGCUGCGAUUACAGCUGUAAGUCGCUUGGGGUAUGUCUCUAUCAGUUUUGCACAUCGAGAGACUGAAAUUUUUUCCCAUUCCUCCUUGCAAAACAGCUCGAGCUCAGUGAGGUUGGAUGGAGAGCAUUUGUGAACAGCAGUUUUCAGUUCUUUCCACAGAUUCUCGAUUGGAUUCAGGUCUGGACUUUGACUUGGCCAUUCUAACACCUGGAUAUGUUUAUUUUUGAACCAUUCCAUUGUAGAUUUUGCUUUAUGUUUUGGAUCAUUGUCUUGUUGGAAGACAAAUCUCCGUCCCAGUCUCAGGUCUUUUGCAGACUCCAUCAGGUUUUCUUCCAGAAUGGUCCUGUAUUUGGCUCCAUCCAUCUUCCCAUCAAUUUUAACCAUCUUCCCUGUCCCUGCUGAAGAAAAGCAGGCCCAAACCAUGAUGCUGCCACCACCAUGUUUGACAGUGGGGAUGGUGUGUUCAGCUGUGUUGCUUUUACGCCAAACAUAACGUUUUGCAUUGUUGCCAAAAAGUUCAAUUUUGGUUUCAUCUGACCAGAGCACCUUCUUCCACAUGUUUGGUGUGUCUCCCAGGUGGCUUGUGGCAAACUUUAAACAACACUUUUUAAGGAUAUCUUUAAGAAAUGGCUUUCUUCUUGCCACUCUUCCACAAAGGCCAGAUUUGUGCAAUAUACGACUGAUUGUUGUCCUAUGGACAGAGUCUCCCACCUCAGCUGUAGAUCUCUGCAGUUCAUCCAGAGUGAUCAUGGGCCUCUUGGCUGCAUCUCUGAUCAGUCUUCUCCUUGUAUGAGCUGAAAGUUUAGAGGGACGGCCAGGUCUUGGUAGAUUUGCAGUGGUCUGAUACUCCUUCCAUUUCAAUAUUAUCGCUUGCACAGUGCUCCUUGGGAUGUUUAAAGCUUGGGAAAUAUUUUUGUAUCCAAAUCCGGCUUUAAACUUCUUCAUAACAGUAUCUCGGACCUGCCUGGUGUGUUCCUUGUUCUUCAUGAUGCUCUCUGCGCUUUUAACGGACCUCUGAGACUAUCACAGUGCAGGUGCAUUUAUACGGAGACUUGAUUACACACAGGUGGAUUGUAUUUAUCAUCAUUAGUCAUUUAGGUCAACAUUGGAUCAUUCAGAGAUCCUCAUUGAACUUCUGGAGAGAGUUUGCUGCAUUGAAAGUAAAGGGGCUGAAUAAUUUUGCACGCCCAAUUUUUCCAUUUUUGAUUUGUUAAAAAAGUUUGAAAUAUCCAAUAAAUGUCGUUCCACUUCAUGAUUGUGUCCCACUUGUUGUUGAUUCUUCACAAAAAAAUACAGUUUUAUAUCUUUAUGUUUGAAGCCUGAAAUGUGGCAAAAGGUUGCAAAGUUCAAGGGGGCCGAAUACUUUCGCAAGGCACUGUAUAUACUGUAUUUUAUACCAUCUACUGCACCUUGCCUAUGCCGCUCGGCCAUCGCUCAUCCAUAUACUUAUAUGUACAUAUUCUCAUCCACCCCUUUAGAUUUGUGUGUAUUAGGUAGUUGUUUGGGAAUUGUUAAAUCACUUGUUAGAUAUUACUACACUGUUUGAGCUAGAAGAACAAGCAUUUCGCUUCACUCACAUUAACAUCUGCUAACCAUGUGCAUGUGAUCAAUAACAUUUGAUUUGACCCAGAUGACAGUGCUCUGAAAUCGAGGUAGAUAACAAGUGUGAAUUUAUGGCUACAUCUGUUAACCGUUGUCACAGUGACAUUCUAUUGAAAUUGAUACUUUUAUAGGAACAGUGUGAGGUCUUGUGCACUCUGAAGCAGGUUUUUAUCAAAGAUUUCUCUGUACUUUGCUCCGUUCAUCUUUGCAUCGAUCCUGACUAGUCUCGCAGUCCCUGCCGCUGAAAAACAUCCCCACAGCAUGAUGCUGCCACCACCAUGCUUUACUGUAAACAAUUGACAUUCAGGCCAAAGAUGUUAGUCUUGGUUAGACCAGAGAAUCUCCAAAAGGGCUGUCAUAUUCCAUUUACUGAUGAGUGGAUUCUGUCUGGCCACUAACCUAAAGGCCUGAUUGGUGGAGUGCUGCAGAGAUGGUUGUCCUUCUGGAAGGUUCUCCCAUAUCCACAGAGGAACUCUGGAGCUCUGUCAAGAGUGACCAUUGGGUUCUUGGUCACCUCCCUGACCAAGGCCCUUCUCCCCAUUGCUCAGUUUGUCAAGGUGGCCAGCUCUAGGAAUAGUCUUGGUGGUUCCAAACUUUGUUAAUUAAGAAUGAUGGAGGCCACUGUGUUCUUGGGGACCUUCUAUGCUGCAGACAUUUUUUGGUACCCUUCUCAAGAUAUGGGUCUCAACACAAUCCUGUCUCUGAGUUUGCUGUUUUUGCUUUUUCAUUAUGUGUAGAUCUUUAAUGCAUUUUAGGAUAAGACAAAAUGUUGGAAAAGUCAAGGGGGCUGAAUACUUUGACAGCACUGUAUAAUAUAAUAAUAAAACAAUGAAAAACGUGACAUGGCUGGUGGCCCAUUGGCCUGUUAAGAUUUUGG